rfam:Brassica napus, WGS project CCCW01000000 data, contig: 7347
GGAAUAUAAGAACCCGUCUCUUAACUUUUAACUAAAAAAACUAAGAACCGUCUCUUUAAACUCUUAUUUAAGAGCCGGUUCUUAGCUUUUUUAGUUAAAAGUUAAGAGCCAGGUUCUUACAUUCC